rnacentral:rRNA from 1 species
GAUGAACGCUGGCGGCGUGCCUAAUACAUGCAAGUCGAGCGAACAGACGAGGAGCUUGCUCCUCUGACGUUAGCGGCGGACGGGUGAGUAACACGUGGAUAACCUACCUAUAAGACUGGGAUAACUUCGGGAAACCGGAGCUAAUACCGGAUAAUAUAUUGAACCGCAUGGUUCAAUAGUGAAAGACGGUUUUGUUGUCACUUAUAGAUGGAUCCGCGCCGCAUUAGCUAGUUGGUAAGGUAACGGCUUACCAAGGCAACGAUGCGUAGCCGACCUGAGAGGGUGAGCGGCCACACUGGAACUGAGACACGGUCCAGACUCCUACGGGAGGCAGCAGUAGGGAAUCUUCCGCAAUGGGCGAAAGCCUGACGGAGCAACGCCGCGUGAGUGAUGAAGGUCUUCGGAUCGUAAAACUCUGUUAUUAGGGAAGAACAAAUGUGUAAGUAACGAUGCACGUCUUGACGGUACCUAAUCAGAAAGCCACGGCUAACUACGUG